GUACACGCUGUGACUAGCAUAUCAAUAAGCGGAGGAAAAGAAACUAACAAGGAUUCCCCUAGUAACGGCGAGUGAAGCGGGAAGAGCUCAAAUUUGAAAUCUUAAAGGGUUUCCCUUUACGAAUUGUAGUUUAAAGAAGUGUUUUCUGUUGAGGUUUUGGUAAAAGUUCUUUGGAAUAGGACAUCAUAGAGGGUGAGAAUCCCGUAUUUGACCUUUACUUUCAACUUUGUGAUACACUUUCAAAGAGUCGGAUUGUUUGGGAAUGCAGUCCAAAAUGGGUGGUAAAUUUCAUCUAAAGCUAAAUAUUGGCGAGAGACCGAUAGCGAACAAGUACCGUGAGGGAAAGAUGAAAGGAACUUUGAAAAGAGAGUUAAACAGUACGUGAAAUUGUCAAAAGGGAAGCGUUUGACACCAGUGUUGUUUUUCUGAAAAUCAAUUAAAGAACUGUUUAUGCUAAGUUGUUUAGACUUUAUCAGCUAACUGUUUAGUUUUGAGCUUUUCUUUAAUGCACUUUUCAGUUAACAAGUCAACAUCAAUUUCUUUUGCUGUAAAAAAGCUUGAGGAAGGUGGCUUGAGAUUCGUCUUAAGUGUUUAUAGCCUCUUGCCUAUGCAGUCGGAGAGAUUGAGGUCUGCAGCGUAGAUCCUUCGGGGCUAAAUGCAUUUGUGCUAAGUUAUAACAUUUUAUAGACAACUUGUUGACUAUGAUUUGUCUUGUAGCUUACUCGCUUAUGUUAUUUUACCUACGCUUAGGAUGUUGACGCGCGUGUGUGCGUG
rnacentral:rRNA from 1 species